CCAGAAAUGGCAACACUGCACUCCUGAAAAAAACUAGGAUUUCUUGGCUCUGAGCCUAGGCAGGCUGAGGAUGUGUUGGCAGCCAGGGAGAGGUAAAGUCUGGAGACGAAGGAAGUGGGAAGGGGAAGUUUAUAUCAAAGAGGGACGCUGGGAUUACUCAUCGGUGUUGCCUGCAAAGAGAGGAGCACAGAUGGAAGGCUCGGCAGAAGCUUGCUGAUGAGUGAGAGGAGAAUGAGAGCGAAUGGGACAGAUGCUAGAUUCCUCCAGUGACCACCGCGAGCUGGGAGCAACAGUGACUUUUCUGACAGGGAUGAGGCAUGUGGCUUGGCAUUGCUGAAUAGGAAAGAUGGGUACAUACAAGGGAAGGCUUCUGAUAUGGACUCUACCCUCUGGAGACAGCAUCAACUAAGGUCCCUCCAGAAGGUGGAUUCACGGUGCAUCUGUCAUUCUCUGGCUGUGUGGCUGCACAUGGCACAUCGGGGCUCAACAAUCUUGAAGCUGUGUCAAAAUGUCCUUUCUUUCGCAUACUGAGUGAUGUUCCAGGGAGUGUCUACCCCAUGCGUUAGUCAUCGUCUCAUCUGUCAGUGGACACUUGGGUUGCUGCCACCAUUUGACGACUGUGAAAAUGCGGCAGUGAACACGGUUGCAUGGAAAUUCCCCCUUUCUUCCCCGAUUUUACCAGUUUGAUGUAUCCAGAAGUGGAAUUUCUGUCUCAUAUAAAAACCCUAUUUUUAAAUUUCCGUUUGAUUUCUACCAACUUUUACAUUCCAA